rnacentral:rRNA from 1 species
CACUCCUGCGGGAGGCAGCAGUGGGGAAUUUUGGACAAUGGGCGAAAGCCUGAUCCAGCAAUGCCGCGUGAGUGAAGAAGGCCUUCGGGUUGUAAAGCUCUUUUGUCAGGGAAGAAACGGUGAAAGCUAAUAUCUUUUGCUAAUGACGGUACCUGAAGAAUAAGCACCGGCUAACUACGUGCCAGCAGCCGCGGUAAUACGUAGGGUGCAAGCGUUAAUCGGAAUUACUGGGCGUAAAGCGUGCGCAGGCGGUUUUGUAAGUCUGAUGUGAAAUCCCCGGGCUCAACCUGGGAAUUGCAUUGGAGACUGCAAGGCUAGAAUCUGGCAGAGGGGGGUAGAAUUCCACGUGUAGCAGUGAAAUGCGUAGAUAUGUGGAGGAACACCGAUGGCGAAGGCAGCCCCCUGGGUCAAGAUUGACGCUCAUGCACGAAAGCGUGGGGAGCAAACAGGAUUAGAUACCCCAGUAGUCCCAUG